UACGUAGGUGGCAAGCGUUGUCCGGAUUUACUGGGCGUAAAGAGCGCGCAGGCGGUCUUUUAAGUCGGAUGUGAAAGCCCCCGGCUCAACUGGGGAGGGUCAUUCGAUACUGAUCGACUUGAAGGCAGGAGAGGGUAGUGGAAUUCCCGGUGUAGUGGUGAAAUGCGUAGAUAUCGGGAGGAACACCAGUGGCGAAGGCGACUACCUGGCCUGUUCUUGACGCUGAGGCGCGAAAGCUGGGGGAGCAAACGGG
rnacentral:rRNA from 1 species